UACGUAGGGGGCAAGCGUUGUCCGGAAUCAUUGGGCGUAAAGCGCGCGUAGGCGGCCCGGUAAGUCCGCUGUAAAAGUCCAGGGCUCAACCCUGGAAAGCCGGUGGAUACUGUCGGGCUAGAGUUCGGGAGAGGUGAGUGGAACUGCGAGUGUAGAGGUGAAAUUCGUAGAUAUUCGCAAGAACACCAGUGGCGAAGGCGGCUCACUGGCCCCGAUACUGACGGCUGAGCACGAAAGCGUGGGGAGCAAACAGG
rnacentral:rRNA from 1 species